UACGAAGGGGGCUAGCGUUGUUCGGAAUUACUGGGCGUAAAGCGCGCGCAGGCGGCUCUUCAAGUCAGGGGUGAAAGCCCAGAGCUCAACUCUGGAACUGCCUCUGAGACUGAAGAGCUUGAGUACGGGAGAGGUGAGUGGAAUUCCCAGUGUAGAGGUGAAAUUCGUAGAUAUUGGGAAGAACACCGGUGGCGAAGGCGGCUCUCUGGGACGGUACUGACGCUGAGACGCGAAAGCGUGGGGAGCGAACAGG
rnacentral:rRNA from 1 species